AGAACCAACCGGGGAUUGCCCUAGUAACGGCGAGUGAGCGGCAACAGCUCAAUUUGAAAUCUGGCUCCUCCGGGGCCCGAGUUGUAAUUUGUAGAGGAUGCUUUUGGCGAGGCGCCUUCCGAGUUCCUUGGAACAGGACGCCUUAGAGGGUGAGAGCCCCGUACGGUUGGACGCCGAGCCUCUGUAAAGCUCCUUCGACGAGUCGAGUAGUUUGGGAAUGCUGCUCUAAAUGGGAGGUAAAUUUCUUCUAAAGCUAAAUACCGGCCAGAGACCGAUAGCGCACAAGUAGAGUGAUCGAAAGAUGAAAAGUACUUUGAAAAGAGGGUUAAAAAGCACGUGAAAUUGUUGAAAGGGAAGCGUUUAUGACCAGACCUUGGCCGGGCGGAUCAUCCGGUGUUCCUCACCGGUGCACUUCGCCCGGCCUAGGCCAGCAUCGGUUCCCGCGGGGGGACAAAGGCCCGGGGAAUGUAGCUUCCCUUCGGGGGAGUGUUAUAGACCCGGGCGUAAUGCCCCCGGGGGGACCGAGGUUCGCGCUCCGGCAAGGAUGCUGGCGUAAUGGUCAUCAACGACCCGUCUUGAAACACGGACCAAGGAGUCGAACAUUUGUGCGAGUGUUUGGGUGUCAAACCCUCACGCGUAAUGAAAGUGAACGGAGGUGAGAACCCCUUCCGGGGCGCAUCAUCGACCGAUCCUGAUGUCUUCGGAUGGAUUUGAGUAAGAGCAUAACUGUUCGGACCCGAAAGAUGGUGAACUAUGCGUGGAUAGGGUGAAGCCAGAGGAAACUCUGGUGGAGGCUCGCAGCGGUUCUGACGUGCAAAUCGAUCGUCAAAUCUGCGCAUGGGGGCGAAAG
rnacentral:rRNA from 1 species